UGAGGAAGUAAAAGUCGUAACAAGGUUUCCGUAGGUGAACCUGCGGAAGGAUCAUUAUCGAAUAAAUGUUGAUAGGCUGUUGCUGGCUUCCCUAUGAAAGGGGGGGGGCAUGUGCACGCCUGUCAUCUUUGUUUUUCCACCUGUGCACACUUUGUAGAAUCCUAGAGAAGUAAUUGUCUGAGAAAAUCAGAUAGGUUGAGGACUGCUGUGCCCCUUGGGCCGGCUGUGCCUUGUGUAUCUUGGGUUCUAUGUCAUUCACAUACUCCUAUGAAUGUAACAGAAUGUUGAUCUGGGUCUUUAGCACCUAUAAAAAGUUAUAUACAACUUUCAGCAACAGAUCUCUUGGCUCUCGCAUCGAUGAAGAACGCAGCGAAAUGCGAUAAGUAAUGUGAAUUGCAGAAUUCAGUGAAUCAUCGAAUCUUUGAACGCACCUUGCGCUCCUUGGUAUUCCGAGGAGCAUGCCUGUUUGAGUGUCAUUAAAUUCUCAACUACACCGAUAUUUUUUUGUUGGUGUAGAUUGGAUUUGGGGGAUUUUUUGCGGGCUUUAGUAAAAUGAAGUCGGCUUCCCUGAAAUUAAUUACUGGUACCUUAGUAGAACCUUCUACAGGUGUGAUAAUUUAUCUAUGCCUUAGAUGUCUGCAUGAAAAAAGGUUAUGCUGCUUCCUACCCUCUCACUCCUUAGGGGUUACCGAUGACAAUCUUGACCUCAAAUCAUGUAGGACUACCCAGUGAAUUUAAGCAUAUCAAUAAGCGGAGGUUAAGAAACUAAGAAGGAUUCGCCUAGUUCUGCGAGUGAAGCGGGAAAAGCUCAAAUUUAAAAUCUGUUGGCCAUUGGUCAUCCGAGUUGUAAUCUAGAGAAGUGUUACCCGUGCUGGACCGUGUACAAGUCUUCUGGAAUGGAGCAUCACAGAGGGUGAGAAUCCCGUCUUUGACAUGGACUACCAGUGCUUUUGUGGUAUGCUCUCAAAGAGUCGAGUUGUUUGGGAAUGCAGCUCAAAAUGGGUGGUAAAUGCCAUCUAAAGCUAAAUAUUGGCGAGAGACCGAUAGCGAACAAGUACCGUGAGGGAAAGAUGAAAAGAACUUUGGAAAGAGAGUUAAACAGUACGUGAAAUUGCUGAAAGGGAAACGCUUGAAGUCAGUCUCGUUGACUUGAAAUCAACCCUGUUUCUGCUGGGUGUACUUUCUUGUCAAU
rnacentral:rRNA from 1 species